CGGCCAGACUGCAGCCGACUGCAGCUCUCAUACAGACAGGUGUGCGUGUGCAGAUCCGUCUGUGCAGUCAGCUGUCGGGACGGAGCUGAGGGUCCCCCCUGCAGGCACGGCGCGGAAAAACUCCAGUGUGAAACUGUCCGCAGUGGAAGCAGAUGGAGAAAAGAUCUGCUGUGCUUGGAUCAUCAGCCGUGGGACAGACGGCCUCACACUGGUAUACGGAGGAGUUUAUGGUCCACUCAGUGACUGUGAGGAGCCUAAAUCCUCACCCCUCUACCACUGUACAAGCCUGCUGCUGUCAAACGUGUGGCUCUGUGGCACAGCGGGCAGUGCAUUGGACUUCUAGACCACUUCUGAGGAAGAAAUUCAAAGGUUGUACGUUUCCCCUCUUAGCUCCAUGGAGUAAGGCUGGACUCUGCGUUUUGGUUCAGCUCAUGCUGAAUGAAUAAUUACAGGGUGUAAUAUGUCGCGUGUUGUAGUUCAUUGGAGGUUUGGGUUACCUAAUUUUAAGACCUGCUGAGGAUCAGAUGAUCUUUUAUUGUCUGCUCAAGCUCAGAGUUGAUGGUUGGUUAGUUUGUAGUUUUCGUGUCUGCUCCUUUAGUUGCUCUUUAUUAAUAUCAACGUUGUAUUUUUAAUAAACACGACACAUCGCGCCUCUGUUUUUAGUCAAACUGAAAUCAUGGCAUCGCAUCUUUGUUUGAUGUUCUCCACACUG